rnacentral:misc_RNA from 1 species
UCGCGGCUUAUCACCGGCAGUCUCCUUAGAGUGCUCAACUAAAUGGUAGCAACUAAGGACGGGGGUUGCGCUCGUUGCGGGACUUAACCCAACAUCUCACGACACGAGCUGACGACAGCCAUGCAGCACCUGUGUUCCAGGCUCCGAAGGGAAGGCCCCAUCUCUGAGGCGGUCCGCCGUUGUCUAGCCCAGGUAAGGUUCUUCGCGUUGCCUCGAAUUAAACCACACGCUCCGCUGCUUGUGCGGGCCCCCGCCUAUUCCUUUGAGUUUUAACCUUGCGGCCGUAGUCCCCAGGCGGUGAACUUAAUGCGUUAGCUGCGGCACUGAUCGGGUCAAUCCGACCAACACCUAGUUCACAACGUUUAGGGCGUGGACUAC